UCCUGACACGGUGGCGCACACCUGUAGUUCCAGCUACUCGGGAGAAUCACUUGAGCCCACGAGUUCUGGGCUGUAGUGUGCUAUGCCAAUCGGGUGUCUGCACUAAGUUCGGCAUCAAUAUGGUGACCUCCCGAGAGGAGGGUACCACCAGGUUGCCUAAGGAGGGGUGAACUGGCCCAGGUCAGAAAUGAAGCAGGUCAAAACUCCCGUGCUGAUCUGUAGUGGGAUCGCGUCUGUGAAUAGCCACUGCACUCCAGCCUGGGAAACAUAGCCAGACU
rnacentral:SRP_RNA from 1 species